rnacentral:rRNA from 1 species
GUGUAGCAGUGAAAUGCGUAGAGAUGUGGAGGAACACCGAUGGCGAAGGCAGCCCCCUGGGAUGACACUGACGCUCAUGUACGAAAGCGUGGGUAGCAAACAGGAUUAGAUACCCUGGUAGUCCACGCCCUAAACGAUGUCAACUAGUUGUUGGGGGAGUGAAAUCCCUUAGUAACGAAGCUAACGCGUGAAGUUGACCGCCUGGGGAGUACGGUCGCAAGAUUAAAACUCAAAGGAAUUGACGGGGACCCGCACAAGCGGUGGAUGAUGUGGAUUAAUUCGAUGCAACGCGAAAAACCUUACCUACCCUUGACAUGUCCGGAAUCCUGCUGAGAGGUGGGAGUGCCCGAAAGGGAAUCGGAACACAGGUGCUGCAUGGCUGUCGUCAGCUCGUGUCGUGAGAUGUUGGGUUAAGUCCCGCAACGAGCGCAACCCUUAUCAUUAGUUGCUACGCAAGGGCACUCUAAUGAGACUGCCGGUGACAAACCGGAGGAAGGUGGGGAUGACGUCAAGUCCUCAUGGCCCUUAUGGGUAGGGCUUCACACGUCAUACAAUGGUCGGUACAGAGGGUUGCCAAGCCGCGAGGUGGAGCCAAUCCCAGAAAGCCGAUCGUAGUCCGGAUUGUUCUCUGCAACUCGAGAGCAUGAAGUCGGAAUCGCUAGUAAUCGCGGAUCAGCAUGUCGCGGUGAAUACGUUCCCGGGUCUUGUACACACCGCCCGUCACACCAUGGGAGUGGAAUCUGGCAGAAGUAGGUAGCCUAACCGCAAGGAGGGCGCUACCACG